UAAGACAAUUGGACGAAAUUGGUGGCUUCGGUGUCCUCGCCACAACGCACUCACCCUUCCUUGGGUGCCCCAAGAAUAAUAUUGGAGGCACACCCCAUCUCCGGCAGACCGGAGUCUAUUCCUGGUGGAUUAGGAUCUGCUCAUCUCCCCGCCCAAAGUAACUCACACAACCAUCUCGGUAGCUUUUUUUACAUCAACACUGAAGGCCGAACUCAGACCGUCGCCUAGAUGAGAAGUGGUCAUAGCGAUAAUGGAAGGGAAAUUUUUUGACGCUUAAAAUUACACGGAUGUGAAUUACACGGCACCAAAUUGGAGGCGUUUGCCAACCGGGUCACCUAAUACUGAGGAGCUCCAAGGGAAAAGAAGGGACGUGCUAAAAGGUUGGACGCGCGGCUGGGGUGCGGAAUUAAUGCCUCUAAUUCCAGAUUAGAUUUCACAUUCAACGUUGCUCAUUGUCGAAGCUGCGACCAGAAGAAGAGACCGCUUGCGGCGAAACCCGAGUCUGCACGGAGCCAAAUGGUCCGGAGGAUUCACACAGCGUCUGCGUUAGAGGGCCUGGAGGCAGUGCGUCAGUGGUCCCAGAGAUGACCAGGUGGUCAGCGCGGGUGUUCGUUCCCGGAACGGACUCACCGAGGGAAUCUCCGUAUGUGGCUGACGCGGAAGGCUGUUGAUGCUGCUGAUCUCUGAUGCUGCUGCGCGGAUCACUGCUGCUAAUG